rnacentral:rRNA from 1 species
UAGGGAAUAUUGGACAAUGGGUGCGAGCCUGAUCCAGCCAUGCCGCGUGCAGGAAGAAGGCCUUCUGGGUUGUAAACUGCUUUUGCCAGGGGAUAAAACGUCUCUGCGGAGAUAAUUGAAGGUACCUGGUGAAUAAGCCACGGCUAACUACGUGCCAGCAGCCGCGGUAAUACGUAGGUGGCAAGCGUUGUCCGGAUUUAUUGGGUUUAAAGGGUGCGUAGGUUGUUCUAUAAGUCAGUGGUGAAAUACGGCAGCUUAACUGUCGAGGUGCCAUUGAUACUGCAGAACUUGAGUACAGACGAGGUAGGCGGAAUUGACGGUGUAGCGGUGAAAUGCUUAGAUAUCGUCAAGAACACCGAUAGCGAAGGCAGCUUACUAGACUGUAACUGACACUGAGGCACGAAAGUGUGGGGAUCAAA